ACGGCCAGCUAUGUUCCUUUACACAUCGGCGCUGACCCGGGCUGUAGAUUCCUCAGCGUAGGCCGGCAAAUCAUCCGGAACUGCUGACCGAUGGAACGGUUGCUGCGGAAAAUGUUGUUCGGUGAGGCCAGUGAUUCAGUUCGCCUUUUGCAGAACUCAACAUACGGACCAGGUUCCCGUUUCGUUCCUAAUGGUUUUAAGUGGUCUAAAAGCCGACAGCUCGUAGAGAUAAACGACUAACGAGCCCAUCGUGACUGGGCUGUAGACCUGAUUUUCCCUUGUUGACGGAACUCUUUCAAUAAUGUGCCAAAAAAAAAUCACAAAAGAAUAGAAGUUCAAUGGACACCUGAAAAUGUAAAAAUGUUCCAAAAAUUACUAAAGUUUAACGAUGAAUUUAGGCAAACUAAUUACCCCUUUUUCUAGAGCUUGGGAGUUUAGGUGAUAAAAAAAUAGGCCCGUUGAAUCGAUUGUGCAUACUUUUUAACAAACCUUAAAUUUAAAUGCGAUCAAUUAUGUAAUAAGUAAUAAGUUGUAUUUCAGCAAAAUUGAAUAUCGCGUAAGUUUAAUUUUUUCAUGUUCCGUUACACUUGUAUGAGAUUUUAGAGUUCACUAGGAUUGGGACCAUCCAUAAACCACGCGGACACUUAAAAAAAUAAGAACCCCUUCCCCCAAUCCCCUGAUGUUAACAAUAAUUGUUCAUACAAACAAAACUUUUCAGUAUGCAGCGUGAACAUGUCUAGCAAAAUAAUGCAAAAGGGCCGUUGUGGGCUUGUAACCAAAGAGUGAAUCUCUUUCAUGUCAGAUGUAAGCACCCUCUUUG